rnacentral:tRNA from 1 species
GGGCCUGUGGGGUAGCUUGGUAUCCUUGUAGCUUCGGGAGUUAUUGACCUGAGUUCAAAUCUCAGCAGGCCCA